CCUCUGAAUCUGAGAUCGAUCGAAGUUGAGCAAUCCAUGGCUCGAUGUUACUGCUUGGACAGCUUCUGACUGCCAGCAACUGAUCAAUCUUGAGACCUGCUAAAUCCUGCACCUCCCUAACGUCUGUCCGUGAUUGCUUUCGCAAAUAGAGCUUGAAGCUGGGUAUUCUGAGGCGCAUCACAGCUCAUAUCUGCUGAUCCUGAGGCUGGGAGUUGGGCCAGUUGACGAACUGUGUAAUAAUUAUUAGAAUAUAAGUGAUAUACGUAAUGUAAAGUAUAUUAUGGUGUUACGUAUAUAAUUCUGAUUGAAAUGAGAGUUUGCUCACC